AAUUCUCAAAACCCUUUUCUUUUGAAGAGGAUUUUGGACUUGGAGGCUUUUUGCUGGUUUCGCACAGAAGCGAGCUCCUCCUAAAUGGAUUAGUGGGGUCUGCUUUGCCGAUCCUUGACGUGAUAAGAUGUUUCUACGUCUUGGGUUUGGCACCGCACCUGCUUCUAACCGUCUCAUCGACAAUGAUGGCGUUCCGGUCACCACCGUUUCAUCGGUGGGAGGCUUGACCCACCAAAAAAA
rnacentral:misc_RNA from 1 species